UACGUAGGUGGCAAGCGUUGUCCGGAAUUACUGGGUGUAAAGGGAGCGUAGACGGCGCGGCAAGUCUGAAGUGAAAGGCAGGGGCUUGACCCCUGAACUGCUUUGGAAACUGCCAUGCUAGAGUGCUGGAGAGGUAAGUGGAAUUCCUAGUGUAGCGGUGAAAUGCGUAGAUAUUAGGAGGAACACCAGUGGCGAAGGCGGCUUACUGGACAGUAACUGACGUUGAGGCUCGAAAGCGUGGGGAGCAAACAGG
rnacentral:rRNA from 1 species